ACGGAAGGCAGCAGUAGGGAAUAUUGCACAAUGGGGGAAACCCUGAUGCAGCAACGCCACGUGUGGGAAGAAGCAUUUCGGUGUGUAAACCACUGUCGUGAAGGAAUAAGGCUUAUUUUCGGAUAAGUUGAGUGUACCUCGAAAGGAAGCACCGGCAAACUUCGUGCCAGCAGCCGCGGUAAUACGAGGGGUGCAAGCGUUGUUCGGAAUCACUGGGCGUAAAGGGAGCGCAGGCGGAGAUGCAAGCAGUCUGUACAAUACCGGGGCCCAACCCCGGACCUGCAGACUGGACUGUUUCUCUUGGAUAGUUCAGGGGCAAGCGGAAUUCCUGGUGUAGCGGUGGAAUGCGUAGAGAUCAGGAAGAACACCGAUGGCGAAGGCAGCUUGCUGGGGACUUAUCGACGCUCAUGCUCGAAAGUGCGGGUAGCAAACAGGAUUAGAUACCCUGGUA
rnacentral:rRNA from 1 species